UACAGAGGUCUCAAGCGUUGUUCGGAUUCAUUGGGCGUAAAGGGUGCGUAGGUGGCGCGCUAAGUCAGGUGUGAAAUCUCGGAGCUUAACUCCGAAACUGCAUUUGAUACUGGCGUGCUUGAGGACUGGAGAGGAGACUGGAAUUCACGGUGUAGCAGUGAAAUGCGUAGAUAUCGUGAGGAAGACCAGUGGCGAAGGCGGGUCUCUGGACCGGUACUGACGCUGAGGCGCGAAAGCGUGGGGAGCAAACAGG
rnacentral:rRNA from 1 species